rnacentral:misc_RNA from 1 species
AUCCGAGGAGAGUCAUUCCCUUGAAGGAGGUGAGAAAUUGUAUCACGACCCUUCAACAGAAGGUCAGAAAGAGGCUGGACCAAAGAGUGAGCUUACAUCAGGUGUAAAAAGUUUAGACAGAUCUUUAUCAAAUCCCCGUUCUUUAGGUGAAAUUCCUGCGUCAUACGAAAUAUCUGAGUAUGAGCACUUGAUUGAGCAGGAAAUGAGAUGGCUCAAAGCAAACUACCAGAUAAAAUUGAGGGAGCUAAAAGAUCAACACUUGGGACUUCCACCUAAAGCUUCAAAGCCUCCUACAGGUUCCUCUAAGCGGAAAAAGAAGACGAAGAAUAAGAACUCAUGUCUUGAAACUCUACUAAAGUCUUCUGAUUGUGGCAAGACCAUUAGUUCAGAAUCAAAUGGACUUAGCUGCCCCAUUUCGGUAUCCCAAAGGGCCCGAA